rnacentral:tRNA from 1 species
UGAUGGUAGCUCAAUUGGUAGAGCAUUUGGUUGUGGUCCAAAAGGUUGAGGGUUCGAUUCCCUUCCAUCAACCA